CGACAGUUGCUGAGGCUGUGAUGCAAACGCACGCAGGAAGCGUUGUGCAAGCAGGCUCUGGAGACCCGCAGGCUCCUGGGCAGAGGGCUGCCUUCUGUGUGGGCUUGCCCCUCGCCACACCUGGCCAGGAGCCUCCCCCAGCCCCGUGACCCUUGUGUCAGAGCCUGGCCAGAUGACAGACGGCCUGGGGUGCAGGCGAGACCCACUGAACUGGCAGCUGAGGACAGGUCCAGGCCCAGUGGCUGGGGGACUUCUCAGAGCAGGUACCACAACAGCUACCCAAGGACUCAGGACUUUUCUCCCACAGCCAGACUUGGUGAUUGCAUGAAGGAGCCCAGCCUCGGAUGACCUUUCCCCGUGACAAGGCACUAGGAGAGCACAGACCUCCCCACACAAACAUAACACACAAGAGCUCAGGUAACAAGAAGAGAACUGUACCCGGAUGAUGAACUGGAACAUCCACCCUCAUCUUCACCUCCUCCACCCCAGGCCAUGUGCUUCACAGUCACACAGGGGAGCUUCUGGAAUGGACAGUGUUCCUGGUGUUGACUAUAGCCGUGGGCCUCUGAGAAGCUGAAGCAGUGUUGGGCGGAGACAGCUUCAGGGUCACCAGGCCCAGCUAGAACUCCAGGCUGACCUCAGGGCAACGUCCAGCAUCAAGAUGAGCUCCUGGGGCAUGAGGCUACGCAAGGCCUGAGACCCCACAGAUGGAGGACGCUGGGCCACCUGGUGGGGCUCCUUCAGCAAGAGAGGAAAGCAGGCCAAGGCCAGAGGCAGCUGCUGUCUGAAGAUGGGAGGGAGGCGUGCAGGCCUGGCUCCAGCCCACGGUGCGCAGCAAACUCCAGCCUGCUAGACGCAGAUGCAAUUGGAGCCAAGUGCACCUUGAUACCUCCAAGAUGUGACCCCUUACCAGACCCUAAACAAACCUUGUUGACAGAGCCAGACCACCCCUAUUUGAAUCAGCUGCGUGGCCACGUGCCUGUCAUUCGGUCUCUCUGUCCCCAUUUCUACAAUGUAAAACAGGAAAGUGAAACCCAUGGGCCAGCGGCCGCAUGCAGGAAAGCUGGCACUGUCAGCCAUGGCUGUGGUGACUCCCUGGGCCUUAAGCGAGCAAAGAGCCCACACACCCAAAUUCAGCACCUUCUUUCCUGUUCUCCUUUGAAGGAAACACUCUUCAUAUAAAAAGACAGGAAAAGAAACUCGAGACUUUUUCUUCUUUUGGGAGGGUCUCCAAUUUAGAAUCAGCAUAUCAAUAUUCUCUCUAAACCAAUGCUUCUAUUAAGGCAGAGUAAAUGGGAAGAGAAAUUCCACGGCCUGCAUCUAGCUUGUCACUGCAAAGUGAUUCACACAAACACACACUCACACUUUCACACACACGUGCACCUCUGAUUGAAGCAUUGCUGCUGAACUGAUGAGACACCACUAUGUAACCUCUGUUUUUCAAUUAAGUGCAAAAAGCCAAUUCUUAAUCUAUG
rnacentral:lncRNA from 10 species